rnacentral:rRNA from 1 species
AUGAACGCUGGCGGCGUGCUUAACACAUGCAAGUCGAGCGAAGCACUUUGCUUUGAUUUCUUCGGGAUGAAGAGCUUAGUGACUGAGCGGCGGACGGGUGAGUAACGCGUGGGUAACCUGCCUCAUACAGGGGGAUAACAGUUAGAAAUGACUGCUAAUACCGCAUAAGACCACAGCACCGCAUGGUGCAGGGGUAAAAACUCCGGUGGUAUGAGAUGGACCCGCGUCUGAUUAGUUAGUUGGUGGGGUAACGGCCUACCAAGGCGACGAUCAGUAGCCGACCUGAGAGGGUGACCGGCCACAUUGGGACUGAGACACGGCCCAAACUCCUACGGGAGGCAGCAGUGGGGAAUAUUGCACAAUGGGGGAAACCCUGAUGCAGCGACGCCGCGUGAGCGAAGAAGUAUUUCGGUAUGUAAAGCUCUAUCAGCAGGGAAGAAAAUGACGGUACCUGACUAAGAAGCCCCGGCUAACUACGUGCCAGCAGCCGCGGUAAUACGUAGGGGGCAAGCGUUAUCCGGAUUUACUGGGUGUAAAGGGAGCGUAGACGGAGCAGCAAGUCUGAUGUGAAAACCCGGGGCUCAACCCCGGGACUGCAUUGGAAACUGUUGAUCUGGAGUGCCGGAGAGGUAAGCGGAAUUCCUAGUGUAGCGGUGAAAUGCGUAGAUAUUAGGAGGAACACCAGUGGCGAAGGCGGCUUACUGGACGGUAACUGACGUUGAGGCUCGAAAGCGUGGGGAGCAAACAGGAUUAGAUACCCUGGUAGUCCACACCGUAAACGAUGGAUACUAGGUGUAGGAAGCGAUUAUGUUUUCUGUGCCGUCGCAAACGCAGUAAGUAUCCCACCUGAGGAGUACGGCCGCAAGGUUGAAACUCAAAGGAAUUGACGGGGGCCCGCACAAGCAGUGGAGUAUGUGGUUUAAUUCGAAGCAACGCGAAGAACCUUACCAGGUCUUGACAUCCCGAUGAAAAACCCGUAACGGGGUUCCCUCUUCGGAGCAUCGGAGACAGGUGGUGCAUGGUUGUCGUCAGCUCGUGUCGUGAGAUGUUGGGUUAAGUCCCGCAACGAGCGCAACCCCUAUCUUCAGUAGCCAGCGGUAAGGCCGGGCACUCUGGAGAGACUGCCAGGGAUAACCUGGAGGAAGGUGGGGAUGACGUCAAAUCAUCAUGCCCCUUAUGAGCAGGGCUACACACGUGCUACAAUGGCGUAAACAAAGGGAAGCGAACCCGCGAGGGUGGGCAAAUCCCAAAAAUAACGUCUCAGUUCGGAUUGUAGUCUGCAACUCGACUACAUGAAGCUGGAAUCGCUAGUAAUCGCGAAUCAGAAUGUCGCGGUGAAUACGUUCCCGGGUCUUGUACACACCGCCCGUCACACCAUGGGAGUCAGUAACGCCCGAAGUCAGUGACCCAACCGUAAGGAGGGAGCUGCCGAAGGUGGGACCGAUAACUGGGGUG